UGCUCAGCUCAGGUUUUGUUUAGAUCCUA
rnacentral:piRNA from 1 species